CGAAUGCAACAGUACGUCAAAAAACAACCAACAACUGAAAGUCCAUGAAAAUUGAAAUUAAGGUAGAAUAACUGAAUGAGUGUGACUGAAAUAUAAACAUGGAUUAAAUAAUUAUUUUUCCUUCUGAUAGGCUCAUGGCUUUCAGUAGUGCUGGUUUUCACUGGUAUUGGCUUAACUUCCUCUGUAUGCCCCUUAAAACAUGAAUGACUUGUUUACUUUCUUCACUUGUUGCCUCUAAACACAAAAAAAUGAUAUGUACAGAAAGAUAAUACAGUAUUCAGCUACUGAAUUUAUAUACUGAUCAGCAGACCAGACAGAAUCUGUGGAGAUUUUUUUUUUUUUUUUUUUAAUGGCUAAAAUGUUUUAAAUGUAGGUGAAAGUCAUCUGUGGAGUUAAGAUGAAGAUUCAUUACAAGAUCAGUGAUCGGUACAGAUCUGAGGCUUAAGAAAUAUAAAAUCUAAUUUAUUUUAUUUUUUUUUAUUUAUUUUUUUAUCAACAAUUGUAACAUAUACAUGUACAAGAGUUCUAACAAAGUUGCAGCAUGGUAUAAACAAUUUCAUAAAAUUAGCAUAAUGCCUUACUUGUUUAAUUUGUAUUAUUUUCACUUUCAGUUGUCUGAUGAAAAAGAGCAACUGACCGCUUGACAUUGUCUGCAUGUUUUAUGCAUUAAUGAGCAAACAUGAGACUACAAGGUGAAUAAUGUAUUCCACAUUCUUAAUUUUGUUAUUAUGAUCUUAUAUUUUUCAAGUGUAUUAAUGGUUAAGAUGUUUUUGGCACAUUUAUGUGUUACUUUUACAAAACUACCUUCCUUCUUUUAGUCUUUGCCCCAGAUCUGUCGUCUGUUAAAGUGAAUAUAGCUGUACAUGUGGUCUCACGAUCUGUGUUCAUCUUCAUAACUGACUGUUCAAUGCAUUAAUAGUUUGUGGUCUGAUGUUCCACUUCCUUAUUCACCCAUUAUUAGAGUCUCAUUCAGUCUCUUUUCUCACACUCGCUGUUAUGGAGCUGUUCAUCUUCAUAGUUUUUCAGCUCCUGAUGGAGGUUCAGUCUCACCGAUUUCCUAGAGUAAAAGUAUCUCCAGAUGUCAUAAGUAAGUCCAGCUCAGUGAAGAUCAGCUGUGAGACAGAACCACGUGUUACAGUGAAUACAUGUUAUUUCUACAUAAACAGAGAGGAGAAGAAAAUGAAAACCAGUCCAUCAUGUGAGCUCGAGCUCACUGGUGCUGAAGUGCUCAGAUGGGCAGCUGUAAAAUCACCUGAAUCACUCACCAUUAUCUGUUACUACACAAUGAAUGAGCGAGGCUCAUCCAUAACAUCAUCUGAUUCUGAUCCUGCCACAGUGACAGUUCUUGGUGAGAUAUUUCACUGCUGGUCUUCUGUAUUAGAAAUGUUUUUCCAGUGUUUUUACUAAUCAUGGAUCAUUUUACGUCAUACAGAUUCACUUGAUAAACUCAUCAUCAGAUAGUAAUGAUGAUGUUACACCUAUAGGGCACUUCUGAAUGGAUUGGAUAAUAUUUGUAAAGACCCUUUCAAUAGAUUGUAUAGUAAAUUAAUUAAAUUUAUGCAUUUAGCAGACGCUUUUAUCCAAAGCGACUUAAAGUGCAUUCAGGCUAUCAAUUUUUACCUAUCAUGUGUUCCCGGGGAAUCGAACCCCCAACCUUGCGCUUGUUAACGCAAUGCUCUAUCACUUGAGCUACAGGAGCACUUGUACCUAUAGUACAAAUUAAGAUACUGUCCCAGUGACAAGUUGUUGUACCAGUGAUGCGCGGGUCAAUGUAUAAACAACCCGCACCCGACCGACGUUUUCAACUAACCCGCCCGCAACUCGGACCGCAAAAAAAGAAAAAAGAAAAUAUUGUACCCUACCCGCUUUUUUUAAAAGUAGUAAAUGCUCAUCGUAGUGCAGGGGCGU
ensembl:lncRNA